CUCUGGAGUGGUUUGCAAGGUCAAGAGGCAGAAAUGUCAAGUAAAGAGAGGACACAAAAAUACAGGGAAAGACUCAAUGCUGACCAUGAAAGGAGAGAGGAGGUCCUGAGGGAAAGGAGGAAAAAGUAUAAAGAGAAGAAACAAAAGGGAAAACUCAAGGCAUUCAGUGUACAGACUCUUCCUCCUUCAAGACAAGAAAAAAUUGGAGAGAUGUGGAGAGAUGCACAAAACAAAUACAGAAAAAGGAAAAAAGAAGUGAAUGCCAUUAUGAACCUAACCCCUCCAUCUCUUGAAGCAUCAGCUUUCGGCUUUUCAGCUUCAACUGAUGUUUAAAGAUCCCAUGUGAAAUACACAUUUUUGUUUUUGUUUAAAGAUUCAUUGGAUAAUGCAAAUGAUACAUUGUAUGUUUUUACUGUAUCUGGUUUUACUAAUAUCUAUGAAUUUUCAAUCUAAAACAUUCAACUAAUUGUAAAUUGAUUUAUUUUUUACUGUUUAACAAUUAUAAUUGUUGUUACAACACACUCUCCUUUAAUUUUAAAUUGUUCAUGUUGAAUGUUCUUGAAGUGAGAUGGUG